UUCAUCCUCAUCCUCGCAUGGAGUUGGACCGCUUUGCCUUUCGAAAAGGCUGGUCCGAAAUAUCGUCCGCGAUAGGGAGGAAAUCGUAAAGCGUGAUGGUUGACCUCUACGGGGUUAUCUUUCGCUGCAGCUUUCUCUCUCUUUCACGAUAUAUCACAUAUCGUCCGUCUACAUCGACGAUGUUGGCGAACGCAUCUUUCA
rnacentral:misc_RNA from 1 species